UUGAUUUGAAAGUUAGCCUGUCAAUUUGCAAUGAAGCUUCGCAUGAAAACACCUGCGUUUUAGCGGAAAUAACCGUCAUGCUGCUCAUUAUUCGUAUUAACUAUGGACCUUAAACACCUCAAGAGAUUUCCUGCAAACUUUAAAUCACAUAACUUUCUCCCGAGGAGUUUUCUACUUCACCUGGGCGGUGAAGGGCUGUCAGCGACUGUUUCCAAGGUAAAGACUGAAUAACAUGCUUAAACAAACGAUGCCACCACCAUAAUAAGAAAGGACACUAUGAAACUCUUUUGAUGUACAGCUUUUCCUAAAUAUUGAAUGAUGCCAUCUUAUGCUUUCAUCAUCGGCUACUGAUGGACCUCUGAGAGAUUUCCAAAAAUUGAUCCAUUUGUUGCUUUGAAGAAGAACAAUGAGUCAUGAAAUGUGUGCAACUCGACUCUAAACUAAAGGCCUUCUCAUGUAUUGGAAAAUAUAACAUUUGGAAAUCUCAGAUGUUAGGAUGAUGAGGAAUAUUACACAAAAGGGAUAAACAUUAGUAUUUUUCUUUCAUCCUAAAGUUGGUUUAAAAGGAACAAUUUAUCAAAAUCCUUCAGAAUGAAAUGCUUUUACGUAUAAAAAGAGGAAAAAUAACAAUGACACCAACAUUCUUUUAUUGAACUGUUUUUCCUCUAAUUUUUUUGCCCUAAAGCACCCUUUUCACUGUUCUCGUAACCUUAUGUAUGCAUUGUUGUCAUUCAGAAAAUUGUGUCUCUGAAAAUGAAAAGGCACAGAACCAAAACAAAUUCAAUGAACUGCAUUUUAAGUGAUCUCAGGACAUUUCCCUUCAACCUCAGAGCAUCCUUUGUGGUUUUUAAAAGUGGACUGAAGAGACUAUCACUAAUGGAUCCAAGAGCAAUAUAUAGUUUUUAGUACAGCUGCGGAAAACAGCCUGAAGGACUUGUUUCCAUAAUUGCCUCCCAAUUAAUCAGAUCACUAAAACUGUGUCCUGCAGCAGUUUCCUCCUCUUUGUCCACAAAUUCAAGCCAUAUUCACUUGUGCCUAAUUCAAAGGACACAUGUCCUUUGGAAGAUAAACAUUCCCUUUUAUUAGUUUAUGCUCCCGGCCCAUUAAUUUGUGCUUGCUGUGGUCUAAAACAAUCCCUAAUAUAUUUCUCAGGAGUAAAAGAGAGUUAACAUUUUCAUAUUGUUUGUUUAACUUAACUUUCUCUAACCUUUAAUUUCUUCUGUGCAACUUAUACAAACAUUUCCCAGUUUGGGAUAAAUGAAGUAUUUCUGAUUCUGAUUAAACUAUAUCAUACAAAUGUGGAAUCUGCAAAGCUGACUAUAAACUUUGUGAAAUCAUCACUAAAUGAUCUUACUGUUUGGGUUUUUUCAAAGAGUUUUGUAAGUAUGGCAUCAUUCUGGCAGUCGUCGCUCAAAACAUGCUUUUGCUUUUUAUUUAUGCCACACAUUCCUAAUUUCAAACUAGGGCUCAGGCACUACACUAUAGAUCCUUUUUAAUGAAGCAGGGUUUACUACUAUAAGCUGUUGUUGAGAGCAGGACAAUAAAGGCACAGCAUGAAUAGAAAACAGGUAGCAGAUAAAAGACAUUGUUUUGAAAUGUUGGAACAUGGACUAAUUGACGUGCUGCAGGUUUUUUUUAUUGAUAUUUAAACAAA